rnacentral:tRNA from 1 species
GGGGUCGUAGCUUAGCUGGAAGAGCGCCUGCUUUGCAUGCAGGAGGUCGUCGGUUCAAAUCCGAUCGACUCCACCA